rnacentral:rRNA from 1 species
UGGGGAAUUUUGGACAAUGGGCGAAAGCCUGAUCCAGCCAUGCCGCGUGUCUGAAGAAGGCCUUCGGGUUGUAAAGGACUUUUGUCAGGGAGGAAAUCCCUAGCGUUAAUACCGCUGGGGGAUGACAGUACCUGAAGAAUAAGCACCGGCUAACUACGUGCCAGCAGCCGCGGUAAUACGUAGGGUGCGAGCGUUAAUCGGAAUUACUGGGCGUAAAGCGUGCGCAGGCGGUUUGAUAAGCCAGAUGUGAAAUCCCCGAGCUCAACUUGGGAACUGCGUUUGGAACUGUCAGACUAGAGUGCGUCAGAGGGGGGUGGAAUUCCGCGUGUAGCAGUGAAAUGCGUAGAGAUGCGGAGGAACACCGAUGGCGAAGGCAGCCCCCUGGGAUGACACUGACGCUCAUGCACGAAAGCGUGGGGAGCAAACAGGAUUAGAUACCCUGGUAGUCCACGCCCUAAACGAUGUCAAUUAGCUGUUGGGGGUUAGAAUCUCUGGUAGCGUAGCUAACGCGUGAAAUUGACCGCCUGGGGAGUACGGCCGCAAGGUUA